rnacentral:rRNA from 1 species
GUGAAUCAUCGAAUCUUUGAACGCACAUUGCACUCCUUGGUAUUCCGAGGAGUAUGCCUGUUUCAGUAUCAUGAGCACUCUCACAACUAACCUUUGCUGGUUAAAUUGUGGAAUUGGGAUGCGCCAGUUGUUUAUUGAUUGGCCCUCCUAAAAUGUAGCUCUUGACUGUGGACUACUACAGUAGUUUGGUCCUAAUAGUUUUGGCACUUGUUCAAAUUCUUUGGCUACAUUUACUUUGGUUCCAUGCAGUCUUGAUAUACAGUAAAACUCUAAUACAACUUUGAUCUGAAAUCAGGUAGGGCUACCCGCUGAACUUAAGCAUAUCAAUUAAGCGGAGG